rnacentral:ncRNA from 1 species
GUUAAGUUUGGUUUUGGCUUAUAAUUUUAAUUUAUAUUUCAGUUUAUAUACAAGUUUUAGUGUGUUCGUUCAGAGGAAUUUUCUCAUGGUUUGUGAUGAUAUUGAAUUAUUUAAAUAAUAAUUUAAGAAUUAUUUUAGAUUAAGUGAUAGUAGUAACUAGUAUUGUACAAUAAAGGAGAUUUUGAUGCAGGGAUAUAUAAGAGUAUUGGCUAAAUUUGUGCCAGCAGCCGUGGUUAAACAGAUGAUGCAAUUAAAAUUGUUCGGUGAAUAGUAAAUAAAAAUUAAAAAUUAAUUUAAAAUUAAAUUUAAUAAGUGGAAUUAGAAAUUUAAAUAAAAUUAAAUUUAUUAUAUUUUAAGUCUUGUUAAAUUUUAUAAUUAAACUAGGAUUAGAUACCCUAUUAUAAAAAAUGUAAAAGGUUAUGCUAGAGGAGUAGUAGGUAUGUGCUUGAAAAUCAAAAAAUCUGGCGGUAUUUUAGUCUAUUCAGAGGAACCUGUCCUAUAAUUGAUGAUCCACGAUUAAUUGUACUUAAUUUCUAAGUUUGUAUAUCGUCGUAGGUUGAAUGUCUUUAAAAGGAUGAAUGUUCAUAAUUUAGAAGUGUAAAGGAAAUCAGAUCAAGAUACAGCCUAUAAUUAAGAAGAGAUGGGUUACAAUAAAUUUAUUUGGUAAGAUGGUUAUAAUAAUUAACAUUAUUGUAUAAAAUGGAUUUGAGGGUAAUAUAUUUAAGUUAAAAUGUAUGAUUUAAGCUCUAGAAUAUGUACAUAUCGCCCGUCGCUUCCAUCGAAAUUUAAGUUGGAAUAAGUCGUAACAUAGUAGGCGUACCGGAAGGUGUGCCUGGAUUGAA